rnacentral:rRNA from 1 species
CCAAUAGCGUAUAUUAAAGUUGUUGCAGUUAAAAAGCUCGUAGUUGAAUUUCGGGAUCAAUAUGUCGGUCGUGCCUCGGUACGUACUGGUAUCAUUGGUUUCUCCCUUCUGAUGAACCAUGAUGCCAUUAAUUUGGUGUCGUGGGGAAUCAGGACUGUUACUUUGAAAAAAUUAGAGUGUUUAAAGCAGGCUCACGCUUGAAUACAUUAGCAUGGAAUAAUGAAAUAGGACGUUUGAUUCUAUUUUGUUGGUUUCUAGGAUCGACGUGAUGAUUAAUAGGGAUAGUUGGGGGCAUUAGUAUUCAAUUGUCAGAGGUGAAAUUCUUGGAUUUAUUGAAGACUAACUACUGCGAAAGCAUUUGCCAAGGAUGUUUUCAUUAAUCAAGAACGAAAGUUAGGGGAUCGAAGACGAUCAGAUACCGUCGUAGUCUUAACCAUAAACUAUGCCGACUAGGGAUCGGAUGAUGUUAAUUUUUUAAUGACUCAUUCGGCGCCUUACG